rnacentral:rRNA from 1 species
UACGUAGGGCGCGAGCGUUGUCCGGAAUUAUUGGGCGUAAAGAGCUCGUAGGCGGCUUGUUGCGUCUGCUGUGAAAACUGGAGGCUCAACCUCCAGCCUGCAGUGGGUACGGGCAGACUAGAGUGCGGUAGGGGAGAUUGGAAUUCCUGGUGUAGCGGUGGAAUGCGCAGAUAUCAGGAGGAACACCGGUGGCGAAGGCGGGUCUCUGGGCCGAUACUGACACUGAGGAGCGAAAGCGUGGGGAGCGAACAGG